UACGGAAGGCAGCAGUGGGGAAUAUUGCACAAUGGGCGCAAGCCUGAUGCAGCCAUGCCGCGUGUAUGAAAAAGGCCUUCGGGUUGUAAAGUACUUUCAGUCGUGAGGAAGGUGUUAAGGUUAAUAACCUUAGCAAUUGACGUUAGCGACAGAAGAAGCACCGGCUAACUCCGUGCCAGCAGCCGCGGUAAUACGGAGGGUGCGAGCGUUAAUCGGAAUUACUGGGCGUAAAGGGCACGCAGGCGGUUAAUUAAGUUGGAUGUGAAAUCCCCGGGCUUAACCUGGGAAUGGCAUUCAAGACUGGUUAGCUAGAGUCUUGUAGAGGGGGUAGAAUUCCAUGUGUAGCGGUGAAAUGCGUAGAGAUGUGGAGGAAUACCGGUGGCGAAGGCGGCCCCUGGACAAAGACUGACGCUCAUGUGCGAAAAGCGUGGGGAGCAAAACAGGGAUUAGAUACC
rnacentral:rRNA from 1 species